CAAGCCUCUUUCUUAUGGAGGCUUAUAUUGUUGAAUAUCCUCACUUAAUCCCAUUGCAUAACAACAGUCGAUCUCGAGCCUAGCUCGACAUUACUAUAUUUCGAGGUAAGGUAUCUACUGUCUCUAAAAUCUGAGUUGAUUGGACCCCCUCCUAUUAGAUGUAUGUCUUAGAAGUCAAUAUGACUGAUACAUUAUAUUUUUUUAAGAUAUAAAUUUAUACUUGACAUAUUUAUUUAUUAAUAAAAUUGGAUAAUUUUCUAUACUAUUCUUAUUAUGUAUCCUGAAAUC
rnacentral:lncRNA from 1 species